rnacentral:rRNA from 1 species
GAUGAACGCUGGCGGCGUGCCUAAUACAUGCAAGUCGAGCGAACGGACGAGAAGCUUGCUUCUCUGAUGUUAGCGGCGGACGGGUGAGUAACACGUGGAUAACCUACCUAUAAGACUGGGAUAACUUCGGGAAACCGGAGCUAAUACCGGAUAAUAUUUUGAACCGCAUGGUUCAAAAGUGAAAGACGGUCUUGCUGUCACUUAUAGAUGGAUCCGCGCUGCAUUAGCUAGUUGGUAAGGUAACGGCUUACCAAGGCAACGAUGCAUAGCCGACCUGAGAGGGUGAUCGGCCACACUGGAACUGAGACACGGUCCAGACUCCUACGGGAGGCAGCAGUAGGGAAUCUUCCGCAAUGGGCGAGAGCCUGACGGAGCAACGCCGCGUGAGUGAUGAAGGUCUUCGGAUCGUAAAACUCUGUUAUUAGGGAAGAACAUAUGUGUAAGUAACUGUGCACAUCUUGACGGUACCUAAUCAGAAAGCCACGGCUAACUACGUGCCAGCAGCCGCGGUAAUACGUAGGUGGCAAGCGUUAUCCGGAAUUAUUGGGCGUAAAGCGCGCGUAGGCGGUUUUUUAAGUCUGAUGUGAAAGCCCACGGCUCAACCGUGGAGGGUCAUUGGAAACUGGAAAACUUGAGUGCAGAAGAGGAAAGUGGAAUUCCAUGUGUAGCGGUGAAAUGCGCAGAGAUAUGGAGGAACACCAGUGGCGAAGGCGACUUUCUGGUCUGUAACUGACGCUGAUGUGCGAAAGCGUGGGGAUCAAACAGGAUUAGAUACCCUGGUAGUCCACGCCGUAAACGAUGAGUGCUAAGUGUUAGGGGGUUUCCGCCCCUUAGUGCUGCAGCUAACGCAUUAAGCACUCCGCCUGGGGAGUACGACCGCAAGGUUGAAACUCAAAGGAAUUGACGGGGACCCGCACAAGCGGUGGAGCAUGUGGUUUAAUUCGAAGCAACGCGAAGAACCUUACCAAAUCUUGACAUCCUUUGACAACUCUAGAGAUAGAGCCUUCCCCUUCGGGGGACAAAGUGACAGGUGGUGCAUGGUUGUCGUCAGCUCGUGUCGUGAGAUGUUGGGUUAAGUCCCGCAACGAGCGCAACCCUUAAGCUUAGUUGCCAUCAUUAAGUUGGGCACUCUAAGUUGACUGCCGGUGACAAACCGGAGGAAGGUGGGGAUGACGUCAAAUCAUCAUGCCCCUUAUGAUUUGGGCUACACACGUGCUACAAUGGACAAUACAAAGGGCAGCGAAACCGCGAGGUCAAGCAAAUCCCAUAAAGUUGUUCUCAGUUCGGAUUGUAGUCUGCAACUCGACUACAUGAAGCUGGAAUCGCUAGUAAUCGUAGAUCAGCAUGCUACGGUGAAUACGUUCCCGGGUCU